UGAAGUCACUAGGGUGGGCCCUAAUCCAACCUGACAGGUGUCCUCAUAAGUAGAGGAGAUGAGGACACAGACACAUGGAGGAAAGACCAUGUGGGGACACAGGGAGAAGAUGGCUGAGGGGAGAGGCCAGAGGAGAAACCAGCCCUGUCCAUGUGUUGACCUGGGACUUCCAGCCUCCAGCAUGGGAGAGAGACCCCAUGAGCUCGUCAAGCUCCUUCUGUGACUGAUCAGAGAUCCCACCGUGAGUCCAGCUCCUGGUCCCAUGCUCUGGAUAUAUCGGUCCCUGGCAGCGUGCAACUCCUUAGCCAAAGACGUGGCAACUGCGGGUGAAGUAUCUCUGGGCAGGAAAUCAAUGCAGAAAUGCAACUGGGGAGAGGGGGCUUGGGGGCCAGUUCCAGGGAGAUUGGAACUGCUGUGUUCUCAUCAGCAGAAGUGGCCCCUGCCCACCCCCAUCCUAAUCCCUUCUCAUGUGGGAGAAGGUCUGUGAGCCCUCUCCCUACCAGGCAGGUUCUAUGGCAAUGUGGGCACAUACCCUGGGGCAGGGGCCGAGGGACUUAACUCACUUCAUGAGCGCCAAUGGAGGAGCGAAGGGAAUGCCUGAUGAAAACAACAUUCUACCAGUAUGCACUGUUUUCUAACCUACAGAGUGCCUCUGUGUUCACUGUCCCAUUUGAGAAUUCUAAGUAGAAUUCUGAACAGGCUGGAGCAGAUUGCCCACCCCAAGGGACAGAUGUUGGCUGGUACUGUUGGUAUUCAUGGAAGAUUCCUUCUGACACUCCCUCCUUCUUUGUAAUUGCCAUGAACUGGAGCACUGGGCCAAUAUAAAUCAUCCAAGGGUGAACACGCUGCACAUGGACGGCUCCUCUUUGUUUUUGAAGGGAUUCCAUCUCUAUUUUGCCAUGUGCUCCUUCACCCCACUCCCCACCCCCGUCUUUCAUUUCUUUCUCUGGAAAAGAUACUUCAACUCACAGGACUGCGAUGUUGAAACGGACACCCAAGAGCAUCACAGAUGGGCCAGGCCUGGACCUCUCGGGACAACAUUCCUCACGACUUUUAGAUAGAAGAGAUUAGAGAUUUGGGACUGGUGGCAACUGGUAACGUUUUCAGUGUUUGGUAAACAGCCAGGGUCCGGAGCUCUGGGAACAGCCUGAUUUAGCUCUUUGUUUAAGUUUUGUGUUAGAGGCUCCCAAGAAGCUGAUGCAGGGGAAAGAAAUUAACAACCAUGGCUCAUUCACAGCCAGGCAGCCAAAUGGACAGCUCUAUAAGACUCAAGCCGACAGCGGAGAGAGUGCAACCAAACAGCCUUGGCCCAGCUUUCAGAGGAGAACGUUAUUCACCCCAACUGCUCUGCAUCUGCCUGGAUGUCUGCCAAGAUCUGUGAGCAUUACAGCGUUGGUAUGCUUUGGGUGAGGCCUGUGGCUAUGGCAACAAGUUGGGAGCAACCCGGUCCCUGGGAAUGAGAACAGUGUCUAAAAUCAGGCAGGCGAGGGGCAGGGAGGAGAGGUAAAGGUUGGACUUGCCUGAAGAUGGAGCCGUUUUAUUGUUGUGGGUAAAGCUGCUACCAUUAGGGGCUGUUUACAGAGUGGGUGCAGCUCAAGCUGGGAGCAUGUUAGACUCAGCGACUACGAUCAACCUAUUGACUUGUUCCCAUGAGACAGAGUAAAUUAACUGUUGCAGUACUGGUCAUGUACCACCAACCUCCUGUGAACCAGCCCUCAGUGAAACAUUUAUGUGAAAGGCCAUGGUGUUCCCAUAAGAGGGUGCAUGUUCUCUCCCUUGACUAACUCUUCAGUAUGCCUCAUUCUCACGCGCUGGUGUGCAGGAAGGAGUCCAACAUGCCCCAUUGACAGUCAUGCCCUGUAUGUGGAAAGUCUUCAGGUAGAGCACUGGGCUCAGGUUUGAAGAUGUGAGUUCUAAUCCUAGCAAGGCCAUUACCUCCCAGUGACCUCAUGUCUCGAUUUCCUCAACCACAAAACAAAGGCAUUGGUGAGCUGACCUCUAAGGCCUCUCCAGUUCUCACCUUCUGUGUCUCUACAGACUGGAGACUAGAAGAUUAUGGGCACUUUUAUUGAGUCUUCAUUUUGUUUCCAUUUCUUUGUAGUCAUCAGCUGGAGUUGAGGACAAGUUUUAACAAUAGAUAGGUUUCUUUUUGUCUCUUUUUAAAAAAUUUUAUUUAAAAUAAAUGCCAAGUGUAGUGGCUCAUACCUGUAAUCCCAGCACUUUGGGGAGGCCAAGGUGGGAGGAUUGCUUUUGAGUUUGAGACCAGCCUGGGCAACGUGGUGAGACCCUGUUUGUACAAAAAAUUUUAAAUUAGCCAGGCAUGGUGGCGUGUGCCUAUAGUCCUAGCUACUCUGGAGGUAGAGGCAGGAGGAUCCCUUGAACCUGGGAGGUUGAGGCCACAGUGAGCUGUGAUUGUGCUAUUGAACUCUAGCCUGGGCAACAGAGCAAGACCCUGUCUCUUAAAAAAGACUAUUUUUUAAGAACACUUUUAGGUUCACAGCGAAAUUUGGAGGAAACUUGGCAUAUGUCAUAUGCCCCCUGCUCCCAUGCAUGCACAGCCUCUACCAUUAGCAAUGUCCCCACUCAAAUGGUACCUUUGUUGUAAUCAACAACCCUGUACUGACACAUCAUCAUCACCCAAACUCCAUAGUUCACAUUAGGUUUCACUCUUGGUGUGGUGUACAUUCCAUGGGCUUGAACAACUGUAUAAUGACAUUAUCCACCACUGCAGGAUCAUACAGAGUAGUCUCACUGCCCUAAAACUACUCUGUGCUCCACCUGUUUGUCCCUUCUUUCACUCUAAACUCCUGGCAACAACUGACCUUUUUACUGCCUCGAUAGCUUUGCCUUCUUCGGAAUGUCAUGUAGUUGAAAUCAUACAUCAUGAAGCCUUUUCAGAUUGGCUUCAUAUAGGUUUCCUUCCUUCCUUCCUCCCACCACCUUCCUUUCUUUCUGUAUUCCUAACUCUUGGAUGUAUUUUCCCCAGCAUCAUGACUUGAUGGGACUUUUGCUAAGAUAGGCAAUCAUAGAAAGUCAUAAAUCUCUUGUCAGCCUUAUUGGCUCACCUCCGAGAUGGUUCCAACACUCUUUAAGGCCCACUUUUCCAAUCCACAGAUUCCCCAGCAGAAGUCCAAGCUGCUGAGCCUCACAUCAUCUUUUGCACUAGUAAUCUUUACCACUACUUCACUGUAGCAUUUGAAAAUUUUCAUAUGAAGCCAUAGUUCUGUGUCUUUUUUUUUUUUUUUUUUUUUUUGGAGACGGAGUCUUAACCUGUUGCCCAGGCUGGAGUGCAGUGGCACAGUCUUAGCUCACUGCAAGCUCCGCCUCACGGGUUCAAGUGAUUCUUGCCUCAGCCUCCCAAGUAGCUGGGAUUACAGGCGCGCCACCAUGCCCAGCUAAAUUUGUUGGCAUUUUUAGUAGAGAUGGGGUUUCACCAUGUUGGCCAGGCUGGUCUCAAACUCCUUACCUCAGGUGAUCUGCCUGCCUCAGCCUCCCAAAGUGCUGGGAUUAAAGGUGUGAGCCACCGCACCUGGCCUGAAGCCAUAGUUCUUAACCUCAGUUGUGCAAUAGAAUUAUCUGGGGAAUUUAAAAAUUAGAAAAAACCCAUGCCCUGAAGAUUGUGAUCUAACUGGUCUUGCGUAGCGCCUGGGCAUUGGUAUUUUUUAAAUGUUUCCCAACUGAUACUAAUGUGGCCAUUCUGCAAGCCACAGUUGAAAGGCUUAUUCAAGCAUCCUGUUGCUGAAUGCAUGUCGUCCUUACCACAUGACUCUGGAGGUUUUCUUGUAUUCUGAUGUGGCUGCCCUGUUGAGGCCUGCCCCUUAGAGUGGAGAUUAUCCCCUGCAGUAGGCUGCCUGGAAUAUGAUCCCCAGUGAUCCCUGCUUCCUGGUAUUCAGGCCCUGGUGUGAUCCCUUUCCCUUGAAGCCUGGGCUGGAUUAGUGACUUGCUUCUAACCAACAGCAUAUGGCAAAAAUAAAUGUUUAUUGUUUUAAA
rnacentral:lncRNA from 1 species